GACGAACGCUGGCGGCGUGCUUAACACAUGCAAGUCGAACGGAAAGGCCCUGCUUUUGUGGGGUGCUCGAGUGGCGAACGGGUGAGUAACACGUGAGUAACCUGCCCUUGACUUUGGGAUAACUUCAGGAAACUGGGGCUAAUACCGGAGAGGAGCUCCUGCUGCAUGGUGGGGGUUGGAAAGUUUCGGCGGUUGGGGAUGGACUCGCGGCUUAUCAGCUUGUUGGUGGGGUAGUUGCUUACCAAGGCUUUGACGGGUAGCCGGCCUGAGAGGGUGACCGGCCACAUUGGGACUGAGAUACGGCCCAGACUCCUACGGGAGGCAGCAGUGGGGAAUAUUGCACAAUGGGCGGAAGCCUGAUGCAGCAACGCCGCGUGCGGGAUGACGGCCUUCGGGUUGUAAACCGCUUUCGCCUGUGACGAAGCGUGAGUGACGGUAAUGGGUAAAGAAGCACCGGCUAACUACGUG
rnacentral:rRNA from 1 species